AGGUCCUUGUAUAGAGGAGAAACAUUUGAGAAAGCUAUUUCCAGUUCCCAAGUUUAUAACCUCUCUACUGAGCAUGAUGGCGUAUCCCUGUACUCCCAGGACUUGAGAGACAGAAGCAAGGGUGACCUGUCUGUCAGUCCUAAAUGAAGGCCAAGAGUGCUGCAAUUCUCUCAACCUGAGAAGCUGACACUUCCCGGUAGAAUCUGCUAAUGUUUACUGAUAUAGGGCAUUUUAUCGUCCUGGGGUGCUCCCACUUGUGACUUCCUUUGUAAGCAAUACUUUAAGAAAAACUAUGAUUA
rnacentral:lncRNA from 1 species